CCUGUGCCUGUGAUGGUGUUAAAUAUACUAUGAGAGAGUAUUCUCUGUGAAAUUAUUUUAAUCUGAGGCUUAGG